GACGAACGCUGGCGGCGUGCUUAAUACAUGCAAGUCGAACGAAGUGGCGAACGGGUGAGUAAUACGGGGGUAACCUUCCGUACCCUCUGGGACAAGCCUUGGAAACGGGGUCUAAUACGGAAUAAAGGGGGAUGGGCUCGCGGCGUAUCAGCUUGUUGGGGGGGUGAUAGCCUACCAAGGCGGUGACGAGCAGCCGGCCUGAGAGGUUGAACGGCCACAUAGGGACUGAGAUACGGCCCACACUCCGACGGGGGGCAGCAGUGGGGGCUAUUGCACAAUGGGCGAAAGGCUGAUGCAGCGACGCCGCGGGGGGGAUGAAGGCUGUAGGAUUGUAAGCUUCUAUCGCAAUCGAACGGGUAGGUGGAGAGGAAGCGCCGGCUAACUACGUGCCAGCAGCCGCGGUAAUAC
rnacentral:rRNA from 1 species